GAUGAACGCUGGCGGCGUGCCUAAUACAUGCAAGUCGAGCGAACAGACGAGGAUCUUGCUCCUCUGACGUUAGCGGCGGACGGGUGAGUAACACGUGGAUAACCUACCUAUAAGACUGGGAUCACUUCGGGAAACCGGAGCUAAUACCGGAUAAUAUAUUGAACCGCAUGGUUCAAUAGUGAAAGACGGUUUUGCUGUCACUUAUCGAUGGAUCCGCGCCGCAUUAGCUAGUUGGUAAGGUAACGGCUUACCAAGGCAACGAUGCGUAGCCGACCUGAGAGGGUGAUCGGCCACACUGGAGCUGAGACACGGUCCAGACUCCUACGGGAGGCAGCAGUAGGGAAUCUUCCGCAAUGGGCGAAAGCUUGACGGAGCAACGCCGCGUGAGUGAUGAAGGUCUUCGGAUCGUAAAACUCUGUCAUUAGGGAAGAACAAAUGUGUAAGUAACUAUGCACGUCUUGACGGUACCUAAUCAGAAAGCCACGGCUAACUACGUG
rnacentral:rRNA from 1 species